rnacentral:rRNA from 1 species
GACGAACGCUGGCGGCGUGCUUAACACAUGCAAGUCGAACGAAGUGGCGAACGGGUGAGUAACGCGUAAUCAACCUGCCCUUCAGAGGGGGACAACAGUUGGAAACGACUGCUAAUAACGCAUAAUGAAGGAGGGGAGUGCGUGUGAUUUGCUAGUUGGAGGGGUAACGGCCCACCAAGGCGAUGGUCAGUAGCCGGUCUUGGGGGAUUGACGGCCACAUUGGGACUUGGGCACGGCCCAGACUCCUACGGGAGGCAGCAGUUGGGGAUCUUCCGCAAUGGACGGAAGUCUGACGGAGCAACGCCGCGUGGGUGAUGACGGCCUUCGGGUUGUAAAGCUCUUUUAAUCGGGACGCGGUACCGGAAUAGAAAGCCACGGCUAACUACGUGCCAGCAGCCGCGGUAAUUC